GGGAUCAUUGGUGGAAGGCGUUUGGGCGCACCCAGAAACCCUUUGUGAACUUAUACCUAUCUGUUGCCUCGGCGCAGGCCGGCCUUUUGUGACAAAGGCCCCCUGGAGACAGGGAGCAGCCCGCCGGCGGCCAACUAAACUCUUGUUUCUAUAGUGAAUCUCUGAGUAAAAACAUAAAUGAAUCAAAACUUUCAACAACGGAUCUCUUGGUUCUGGCAUCGAUGAAGAACGCAGCGAAAUGCGAUAAGUAAUGUGAAUUGCAGAAUUCAGUGAAUCAUCGAAUCUUUGAACGCACAUUGCGCCCUCUGGUAUUCUGGAGGGCAUGCCUGUUCGAGCGUCAUUUCAACCCUCAAGCCUGGCUUGGUGAUGGGGCACUGCCUUCUAGCGAGGGCAGGCCCUGAAAUCUAGUGGCGAGCUCGCUAGGACCCCGAGCGUAGUAGUUAUAUCUCGUUCUGGAAGGCCCUGGCGGUGCCCUGCCGUUAAACCCCCAACUUCUGAAAAUUGACCUCGG
rnacentral:rRNA from 1 species